rnacentral:rRNA from 1 species
GCAAUCUGCCCUGCACUCUGGGAUAAACCCGGGAAACUGGGUCUAAUACCGGAUACGACACUCCGAGGCAUCUUGGGGUGUGGAAAGUUCCGGCGGUGCAGGAUGAGCCCGCGGCCUAUCAGCUUGUUGGUGGGGUAAUGGCCUACCAAGGCGACGACGGGUAGCCGGCCUGAGAGGGUGACCGGCCACACUGGGACUGAGACACGGCCCAGACUCCUACGGGAGGCAGCAGUGGGGAAUAUUGCACAAUGGGCGAAAGCCUGAUGCAGCGACGCCGCGUGAGGGAUGACGGCCUUCGGGUUGUAAACCUCUUUCAGCAGGGAAGAAGCGAAAGUGACGGUACCUGCAGAAGAAGCACCGGCUAACUACGUGCCAGCAGCCGCGGUAAUACGUAGGGUGCGAGCGUUGUCCGGAAUUAUUGGGCGUAAAGAGCUCGUAGGCGGUUUGUCGCGUCGAUUGUGAAAGCCCGGGGCUUAACCCUGGGUCUGCAGUCGAUACGGGCAGGCUAGAGUUCGGCAGGGGAGACUGGAAUUCCUGGUGUAGCGGUGAAAUGCGCAGAUAUCAGGAGGAACACCGGUGGCGAAGGCGGGUCUCUGGGCCGAUACUGACGCUGAGGAGCGAAAGCGUGGGGAGCGAACAGGAUUAGAUACCCUGGUAGUCCACGCCGUAAACGGUGGGCACUAGGUGUGGGCAACAUUCCACGUUGUCCGUGCCGCAGCUAA